UGAAACGUUCACUCUUGCUUAUGUGAAGCUUGGGUAAGGUUGUGAAUAAAUAAUUGGAGAUUGAAAUUGUGAAUACUGGAACUUGGAGGAAGCGGAUUAGUUAAGUUUUGAGGGGCUGUCUUGGUUUUGAAUAAAUAGCUUUGGUCGUUACGUGAAAAUUGGCUAAGAUGCAGGUCGAGAGGCAUCUCGUUAGGCGUCUGGACUCUUAAAGCGGAGUGGUUACUGGGAUAGCUUGUUAUGCUAUGAUGUAUAUAUAUGUACUUAGUUUUCUCUCCGCAUGACUUAUUCUUUUUGAUCCUCUUAGAGGUUUAUGGAGAGGCAGGAUUGUGUAUAUGUACUUUUGGGUUUGGAUAUGUAUGUAUAUAUGUGUAAAUAUUCUCCGGCCAGUCUUGACUUCGCAGGCUGAGUUAGGAGCUUGUUAUUUUGUAUCCUUGGUAUUCUACUCCUACUUCUGUUAGCUUAUGUUUGAUAGUUAUGAUUUUCUUAGCACGUAA